rnacentral:rRNA from 1 species
AACGAACGCUGGCGGCAGGCUUAACACAUGCAAGUCGAACGCCCCGCAAGGGGAGUGGCAGACGGGUGAGUAACGCGUGGGAAUCUACCGUACCCUACGGAAUAACGCAUGGAAACGUGUGCUAAUACCGUAUACGCCCUUAGGGGGAAAGAUUUAUCGGGGUAUGAUGAGCCCGCGUUGGAUUAGCUAGUUGGUGGGGUAAAGGCCUACCAAGGCGACGAUCCAUAGCUGGUCUGAGAGGAUGAUCAGCCACAUUGGGACUGAGACACGGCCCAAACUCCUACGGGAGGCAGCAGUGGGGAAUAUUGGACAAUGGGCGCAAGCCUGAUCCAGCCAUGCCGCGUGAGUGAUGAAGGUCUUAGGAUUGUAAAGCUCUUUCACCGAUGAAGAUAAUGACGGUAGUCGGAGAAGAAGCCCCGGCUAACUUCGUGCCAGCCGCCGCCGUAA